UUUAUCGGUCACGAUCGCCUUUCCUCUGGCUCGAGAAACAUUCUUCGUGUGCGAAAACAAAGCAGCGGGGACAGCAUCGAUAAUGAGCUCCGAUAAGUUUAAUACGAGGGUCUAUUCGCGAUCGCCUAAUUGUCACGGGUGCGCACGUCUCCGGAAUUGCUUCGGAGUAUUCCGAGGCCCUUUUUCCGGCUCGCCGGUACUGCGGUUCCAUUUUCGAUUCCCUCCGCCGUCGCAGUCCUUAAUUUUCGCCCUCUCCGCAUUCGAUCAUUCCCAAGUUCGCAUGCUCCGCUGAGGAGGCUCGUCGCCCUGCAACAUUUCCUCCCGAAUUCGAACGCGUGUCUUCUGCGAGCCGCGAUCCCGGUCGGCCUCGAUCGAGUCAAUUUUCCUCCGGGAAUGCCCCGUCUUUCGUCGCUCGAAAAUACAGUCGGAUCUCUGCCUCGGCACAUCGAUAUAAGCUCCCGACGAAUAUACGCACCUGUGCGGAAUGUACACGCGCGUCCAGUCCCAGGGUCAGGCGAGCACUGAGCGAAAAAAUUCUUUCAUCCGAGCGAACAUUCUGUUGGAGCAGCGAAUCCCAGGCUGAUCGAUCACCCCAAAAACUUUUGUUCAUUCAACCGUGUUUUCUUCGUUGGAAGAAUUACUCGUUCGAGCCAUCGAAUUCAGCGUUUUUAUAACCCAAACUUUUAGUUGAGUCAACGACUUUUAUUUCCGCUCUGAUUCCCAUCGAUCCAGCCAACAUUUUCAUUCAUCAAGAAAUACUUCUCUCAGGAGCAAGAAGCUCGAAAAUUUGCAUCGCGCGUGCAACACCCACAACCGCUUCUCCGUCUCAUUCGGCCGGCCAAAACCCCGCGACGCUUCGCAGCCUCACCUUUGCACGUUGUACGAACAUUUUCAAAAUCCCACUCAACACCCCGAUCAAUAAUUGUGCGUCGGCGAUAAUGCCGCCUCUUAACAGUCCCCUCGAAAAAGUCUCUCAUGCACCCAAAAUUCGGGCUUUCUCCACAGCGACCCGAGGUUUCAUACACGCCGAAUAAAUAUUGUUCCCGUACAUAAUUGUUUACCUGUGUAUAUAUUUCACACGUUAUCUCUCGGACAGAGAACAGCGUAUCGGGAAACAACGUACACGCCUGCCUGUUCUCCAUGCGCCUCGAUACACGUUUGUCCCAUAUAUAAACAUAAAUAUGAGCACACUUUCAGCUGACACACACGCGCGCGCGCUCGUGUCACUUCAUUCUCGCACUUGAGGCAAAACCCACGGAGCGUACGCUCGAAUCGUCCGGCUAUCGAUCCACGAGAGCCUUCCUUCUCGCUUUGUGCGCUCUCGCACCAACACUUUUGACAGAGACUGAAGAAUAGGAUGUAUAAUAAAAGGAGAAUUUCUUGUACAGCUCUGUGGAAAUAUGUAAGCAACGAUCCUUUUUUGCAUCGAGAAACAGAAGCUUUACGAAAAAUUCCUGCCUGCAUGGGAAUUCGAUACCGAUCUGCUACCUACCUACAGACAUCUUUCUAAGUACGAACGCUAUAUCCACUCUAGACUACCACGCUAUUGUUAGAUGUAAACUGAAAAAGGAAUUAUAUAAGUUGGGAAAAGUAUUAUUUCGAUUAUUUAUUCGUUGAACCAUGACGAUCACUGUUAAUUUGAAAAUAUAUUUUCACGGAUAUGUCACUUCAUUAUAUUAAACUCUUAUUUAAUAGUGACAAUUGGAUUAAUUAUUUUAAUAAAAAUAUUAAUAGGAGUAAAAUAAUGAUGAAUUUAUUGCAAGAAAAUAAUUUGUUCGAAAAAGGCAAUUUCGUAUUGAAGUCGUUUUGUAGAUUCAAAUAAUCUAAUGUUUUCGAUGCGACAAAUGUGAUUAAUCCAAUCAAUAAGAAUUUAAUCAAAUCUAUCAUGCAUCUAAUUGAUACUAUUAAAUAAGAGUUUAAUAUAAUGAAGUAAUAGAUCCGUGAAAAUAUGUUUUCAAAUAAACAGUGAUUGUCUCGGUUCAACAAAUAAAUAAUCGAAACAAUACUUUGAUUUAAUAAGUAAAUACGCAUGUUCUCAAAUUCAAUCAUUUUUUCUCUCAGUGCGGCUGUUUAGUCGUCGUGGCUGCUACGUGACGAAGAUGACGGAGUUGGAAGGAAAUCUGGUCAUGGCCGAAUAACGAUCAUUCGCAAACCGCCGCGAGGAUAAAUCAUUAAUGAAAAUCUUCAGGUCUCUCGGCUUUGAUGAAAAUUACCAGAGACGCGACAUCGCGUUAAAUGCCAGUUGAGAUAUUUCCUGAAGUGCAAUUCACUUAUGAACCUCCACGACGUCGAUUGCUGUCGUGCUUUUCAACAUUUACGUUGAUCUCGAGACCCCAGCACACUUCCUGUUCUCUUCGCGUAAAGCUCCCUCAUCUUGUAAGCCUCUGACUCUCGUGCGGAAUGGGAUGCGGAGGAUCGAGUGUGCUGCCUUAACGAAGGCCGGCAGCAUGGUGAUUUCGUGUAAUGUACUUCGUACUCUUAUUCACCGGAGCAUUUUUUUAUGACGAGACUUGUACGCGGUGAAAAAAUCUCUCUGUUUUUUUCUUGAUAACGUCAAAAUGUUCGUUUAUUAAAAUCUGAAUAUUUUUAUCGAGUUUAUCAAAUCGCUGGGAAAAGAAGGAAUAAAAUCGUGGCCGGUUGUUCCGAUCCCCCAUGAAAAGGAUUUAUAUUUAAUAUUGUAUGAAAAGUCUAUUCGACAUAUGUAAAAAAAUAUAUUUUUACGAAUAUA